rnacentral:rRNA from 1 species
UACGUAGGGACCAAGCGUUGUUCGGAUUUACUGGGCGUAAAGGGCGCGUAGGCGGCAAUUCAAGUCAUCUGUGAAAUCUCCGGGCUUAACUCGGAACGGUCAGAUGAUACUGCUUUGCUAGAGUGCGGAAGGGGCAAUCGGAAUUCUUGGUGUAGCGGUGAAAUGCGUAGAUAUCAAGAGGAACACCUGAGGUGAAGACGGGUUGCUGGGCCGACACUGACGCUGAUAGCGCGAAAGCCAGGGAGCAAACAGG